rnacentral:rRNA from 1 species
GAUGAACGCUGGCGGCGUGCCUAAUACAUGCAAGUCGAGCGAACGGACGAGAAGCUUGCUUCUCUGAUGUUAGCGGCGGACGGGUGAGUAACACGUGGAUAACCUACCUAUAAGACUGGGAUAACUUCGGGAAACCGGAGCUAAUACCGGAUAAUAUUUUGAACCGCAUGGUUCAAAAGUGAAAGACGGUCUUGCUGUCACUUAUAGAUGGAUCCGCGCUGCAUUAGCUAGUUGGUAAGGUAACGGCUUACCAAGGCAACGAUGCAUAGCCGACCUGAGAGGGGGAUCGCCCACACGGGAACUGAGCCGGGGUCCAGCCUCCUAGGGGGGGCGCCAGUGGGGAAUCUGCCGCAAGGGGCAAAAGCCGGACGGAGCACCGCCGCGUGAGUAAUGAGGUUCUUCGAAUCGAAAAACUUUGUUAUUAGGGAAAAACAUAUGUGUAAGUACCUGUGCACAUCUUGAGGGUACCUAAUAAAAAACCCCGGGCAAACUCGGUG